UCCGGUUUGUCACCGGCAGUCGAUCUAGAGUGCCCAACUUAAGGCUGGCAACUAAAUCCAAGGGUUGCGCUCGUUGCGGGACUUAACCCAACAUCUCACGACACGAGCUGACGACAACCAUGCACCACCUGUCUCCAACGCUCCGAAGAGGGCACACAUCUCUGUGUGUUUCGUUGGGAUGUCAAGGCCUGGUAAGGUUCUUCGCGUUGCUUCGAAUUAAACCACAUACUCCACUGCUUGUGCAGGCCCCCGUCAAUUC
rnacentral:misc_RNA from 1 species